CAGAUACACAAGCAGGCGUCUGACAGUUUGUACGGGGACAUCAUGAGGACUCGGUGCGGCGCAGAGAGGCGACUCCAGCCUGCUGGUUAUCUGCAAUAAAAAGGGAAAUAUAAGAAGAUCUCUACACACAGGCGGAUUUUACUGGAGGACGGAUUAUCCUCAGAAGUCUCUUCCUCUCCAGAAUUAACGGCCCGUCGUUGCUGCUCAACUUCAGCUGCACCUCCUCCGUGCAGCGGACUCUGGACUACUCACCAUCCUUAUCCUCCUUGACCUCACCGCUGCCUUUGACACCAUCUCCCACCAGACACUCAUCCAGCGCCUGGCUGACAUUGGGAUCUCUGGUGUAGCACUUUCCUGGUUUUCAUCUUAUCUC